rnacentral:rRNA from 1 species
CCUACGGGUGGCAGCAGUAGGGAAUCUUUCACAAUGGGCGAUAGCCUGAUGGAGCAACGCCGCGUGCAGGAUGAAGGCCCUCGGGUUGUAAACUGCUUUUAUAAGCGAGAUAUAGGAUGGUAACUUAUGAAUAAGGAAUGGCUAACAACGUGCCAGCAGCGGCGGUCAUACGUAGGAUACGGGCAGUAUACGGAGUUUCUGAGCGUAAAGAGGUGCGAUGGGGGUAUAAUAAGUAGCUAGUGAAAUCUGGUGGCUCAACCAUUCAGACUGUUAGUGAAACUGUUAUGCUCGAGACCGUUAGAGGUAAGUGGAAUUCGUGGUGUAGGAGUGAAAUGCGUAGAUAUUAGAAAGAACACCAAUAGCGUAUGCAGGUUACUGGGACGGUUCUGACACUAAGGCACGAAAGCGUAGGGAGCAAACGGGAUUAGAUACCCCAGUAGUC